GCCAGUGGCAUCAGCGGAGGGUGGCGACGGAGCGAGUGGCAGCAGCAGCGGAAGGCUAUGUCUGACCUCCCUGAGCUGUAACCUCCCCGAGUUCCUCAGUCCUCACCAGCGUCUUCGCGGGAAUGAAGGGGGACGAGCCACGGCCUGCGCCCUGCCUCCUCUCAAACUUCAACGUCCACCCAUACCGUCAAAGUAACUAAGGCAAGUUUGGUGGAUAUUCUCCAAUAUCCCACUGUUAUCUAAAGUUUCGUUGGAUUUAAGUAGAUUGGCCCAGAAAUCAUUGAAGUCACUUUGUGGUUGUUCCACUCCAGGAGCUCAUUUAAGAUGAGCUAAAGGAUGGAUGAUGAAGGCGAGAAAGAAAACGAUGAGGAAGAUGUGGAUGAAAAUAGUUUCCAUGGAAGAUUCAGCCUACCAGUUGGGUUCAGGGGCAGUACACAAAAUUUUCAAAUAGCUAGAUUGUGAUGUCGGCCGGUGAUGAAGUUUCUGGCAGAGAAGGUCUUGCUAAGCCAUUGUUCCAGAACACGGAAGGAGAUGGCGACAUGAUGUUGCACUUCCAGCUCUGCCCACUCCUGUCUGGCUGCACGACAUGCCAAUCAUGUGGCUGCACAACACCCUUUUCUCUGGUUAUUACUAGUACAAGAGAGGAAUAGAAUCAGUACAUGUUUGCAUUGUCUAAAAAGGAGAAUGGAAUCAUUAUUUGAAAAGGAAAGAGAAAGGAAUAAAAACUCUAGCUUGCAAUGUCUGCUAGGUAUCUCAUACACCAAGAACUUACAUAUAUGACAACUCAGGAAAAGCACAUUAUCUAUAAUAAUCUGUAGAUAUGAUCAUAUGAUUGACACACGUAUAUCCCAUUAAUCAGGUUCACACAUGCAAGCUGGGUGCUACAUUUGAAAUUACUGGAGUAUUCAGUUAGCAGGCAGUUGCAAAUCAAGAUUGAGAGAGGGCUAACUAGAAUUGAUCCAAGAGUACCUACAUCCAUGGUUGCAUUCACUUUAAUUAUUCAGCUAUUCAGUGAUUGGGAAAUCCAUGCAUUGAUUCUCUCGAGCUUUGCCCUGUAUUCCUCUUCUUCUCCGGCGCCCUUCGGCGUCGCCACAACCAUACGCUGCUUAGGAUCAUGAUAUGGCUGUCUUACCUAUCAGCUGAUUUCAUUGCAGUAUUUGCUUUAGGCUACCUUUCACGCAAUUUGCCUACCACUUCCACCACAGACGAAAAUCAUUAUAAACCAACCCAUCAGCUCAUGCUCUUGUGGGCACCUUUCCUUCUUAUCCACCUGGGAGGACAGGACACUGUGACUGCUUUUUCACUGGAGGACAAUGAGCUGUGGUUGAGGCACCUGCUGAACCUGCUAUGCCAAGCAUGCCUAGUUGUGUAUGUGUUGUGGAAAUUGGUGGCAUUGGCACACUACCAACUUGUAAUCAUGGCUGUGUUUCUAUUCGUUGCUGGCAUCAUCAAGUAUGGGGAGAGGAUUUGGGCACUAAAGUUGGGGAGCAAGAAAGGCCUCAGG